AAUAAAAUGGCUGAGGAUAAGCGAUAAAUUGUAAAUUUAUUAACGGGAAAUAUUUCUCUUUUAUUA
rnacentral:tRNA from 1 species